UGGGGAAUAUUGGACAAUGGGCGCAAGCCUGAUCCAGCCAUGCCGCGUGAGUGAUGAAGGCCCUAGGGUUGUAAAGCUCUUUCACCGGUGAAGAUAAUGACGGUAACCGGAGAAGAAGCCCCGGCUAACUUCGUGCCAGCAGCCGCGGUAAUACGAAGGGGGCUAGCGUUGUUCGGAUUUACUGGGCGUAAAGCGCACGUAGGCGGACUAUUAAGUCAGGGGUGAAAUCCCGAGGCUCAACCCCGGAACUGCCUUUGAUACUGGUAGUCUUGAGUUCGAGAGAGGUGAGUGGGAUUCCGAGUGUAGAGGUGAAAUUCGUAGAUAUUCGGAGGAACACCAGUGGCGAAGGCGUCUCGCUGGCUCGUUACUGACGCUGAGGUGCGAAAGCGUGGGGAGCAAACAGU
rnacentral:rRNA from 1 species